rnacentral:rRNA from 1 species
AUGAGGAGUACGACCGCACAGUUACAAAGCAGAUGCCGCGGCCAAGUAUCGUCAAGUACCAUGAUUUCUUGGGGAAAUUAUAUAUGGGGAUGGGAUAGACUGAUACCAAAAGCGCUUUACAUCUCUUGGCCUGACUAUAGCGCCUACCUUGAAGAGUAUCACCGCCGCAACAUUGCCGUGGUCAGAGACAUGGCUGAUCUCGCUGAGGCUUGUCUCGUCAAGGAGGAGCAGCUCGUGUCCGAGUGGAAGAAGAACCGGAUGACAUCUGGAGAGGAGAUGGUCUUGCCGAUGAGGAAAUCGAUCGUUCUGAGCUGCCUGAUCCACCAGCGUGCACGUUCAGUCAUCGUCUGCGCAUAUCUCGGUGCAGUGUUGGAUGGUGCUUCAAGGUUCAGAAAAUCCACUCUCCGGGAUGAUGUUUCCGGUGCCGCCUUGUUGUGUAUUGCCAAGGAGGAUGACCUGACUUGUGAGUUGCUGAGGCGUGGCGCUGAUCCUACUGAUGAUUACUUGGUCGACCAGGGCAUAGAGAUACGCAUGUGUGCCUUGUGCCUUAUGAACCGCGGUACCUCGGACAAUUUUGUUGCUGCCACCGCUGCCAUGCUGGGUAUGGCAAGGGAGGCCGAAAUGAUGUGCGCGUGGAUGAGCAAAAAUAACAAGCCUGUUGAUUUCUAUGAUGAUCUCAUACCUGAUGAGAUAAUGGACAGCCGCAGGAUCCGGUACUAUACCUUGAAUCUUAUGAUUGAGAUACUAGAAGAAUCUUCUGUUGCAGCUGCUGUUGGGCACAAGAUUGAUAAGGAAGAACCUGCCAAUAGAAAUGGUCCUGGUAGUGAUGGGGAUGGCAUUCCUGCUGAUGGAGCAGCAAACAGCACAGGGGGUGGCAUUAAUUCAGAUGCAUUGAAUUCUCAGUCUAAGAAAAAUAUUGAAGGUGGUGAAAAGAGUAAGAGGAAAGAAGAAAGUCUUUUGGAGAAGCUAUGGGGGUGGGAAAGGCUGCUGCCACUGCACGGUUCCGUUAAGUGGUCCGACUAUCGCAGCUAUCUUGAAGAGUAUCAUGAUGAUUCACAAAUUUCCACUUGUGCUGAGAUGUGUGCUGCUGUUGUCAGAUUUUGUGUCGAAAUGGAGGAGGAGCUCCAGUCCAAGUGGAAGAUUCGGGUGCGACUUAGCACGGCCGACACCUUGCCAGUCAGCACUAUCAUUCAGAGCAGCCUUAUCAAGGAGUUUGCACUUUCGAUCUGCGGCAGAGGGGGUGAAUUGUGUGUUCCUUCUGCCAUUGCUUUUGUGUGUAUCACCAAGGAGGCUGACCUGAUGUGUGAGCUGCUGAAGCAUGGCGCUAAGCCUUCUGAUGACAUCGUCCAGCAGAGCAGCGUGAUCCGCGUGUGCGCCUUGGGCAUUGUGAACCACCUCAGACGACACCAACCUGUUGCUCUCGUUGCUGCAAUGGUGGGUAUGGCAAAUGGGGCCACAAAGAUGUGUGAUUGGAUGAAGAGAGAGAACAAGCUUGUCACCUUCAGCUUGUCCGAGCCUAAUGAGCUUGAGGACUGCCGCUUGAUCCGGAUCAAAGCCUUGGAUGUGAUGACCAGCAUACUGCAUGAGCAUUCAUUUCCUUCUUCCAAGAUGCGGAAUGAUGCAGUGGCAUAUGAAUAA